UACGAAGGGGGCUAGCGUUGUUCGGAAUUACUGGGCGUAAAGCGCACGUAGGCGGACUAUUAAGUCAGGGGUGAAAGCCCGAGGCUCAACCUCGGAACUGCCUUCGAUACUGCGGGUCUCGAGUCCGGGAGAGGUGAGUGGAAUUCCUAGUGUAGAGGUGAAAUUCGUAGAUAUUAGGAAGAACACCAGUGGCGAAGGCGGCUCACUGGCCCGGUACUGACGCUGAGGCGCGAAAGCGUGGGGAGCAAACAGG
rnacentral:rRNA from 1 species